UACCAGACUCCUACGGGAGGCAGCAGUGGGGGAUAUUGGACAAUGGGGGAAACCCUGAUCCAGCGACGCCGCGUGAGUGAAGAAGUAUUUCGGUAUGUAAAGCUCUGUCAGCAGGGAAGAAAGAAAUGACGGUACCUGACCAAGAAGCCCCGGCUAACUACGUGCCAGCAGCCGCGGUAAUACGUAGGGGGCAAGCGUUAUCCGGAUUCACUGGGGGUAAAGGGAGCGUAGACGGCCAUGCAAGCCUGGAGUGAAAGCCCGGGGCGCAACCCCGGGACUGCUCUGGGAACUGUGCGGCUAGAGUGCGGGAGGGGCAGGCGGAAUUCCUGGUGUAGCGGUGAAAUGCGUAGAUAUCAGGAGGAACACCGGCGGCGAAGGCGGCCUGCUGGACCGCGACUGACGUUGAGGCUCGAAAGCGUGGGGAGCAAACAGGAUUAGAUACCCUCGUACA
rnacentral:rRNA from 1 species